rnacentral:rRNA from 1 species
UGGGGAAUAUUGCGCAAUGGGGGAAACCCUGACGCAGCAACGCCGCGUGAUUGAAGAAGGUCUUCGGAUUGUAAAAAUCUUUUAUCAAGGACGAAGAAGUGACGGUACUUGAUGAAUAAGCUCCGGCUAACUACGUGCCAGCAGCCGCGGUAAUACGUAGGUUGCAAGCGUUGUCUGGAUUUACUGGGUGUAAAGGGCGUGUAGGCGGAGAUGCAAGUUGGGAGUGAAAUCCAUGGGCUUAACCCAUGAACUGCUCUCAAAACUGUAUCCCUUGAGUAUCGGAGAGGCAAGCGGAAUUCCUAGUGUAGCGGUGAAAUGCGUAGAUAUUAGGAGGAACACCAGUGGCGAAGGCGGCUUGCUGGACGACAACUGACGCUGAGGCGCG